rnacentral:rRNA from 1 species
GAUGAACGCUGGCGGCGUGCCUAAUACAUGCCAGUCGAGCGAACGGACGAGAAGCUUGCUUCUCUGAUGUUAGCGGCGGACGGGUGAGUAACACGUGGAUAACCUACCUAUAAGACUGGGAUAACUUCGGGAAACCGGAGCUAAUACCGGAUAAUAUUUUGAACCGCAUGGUUCAAAAGUGAAAGACGGUCUUGCUGUCACUUAUAGAUGGAUCCGCGCUGCAUUAGCUAGUUGGUAAGGUAACGGCUUACCAAGGCAACGAUGCGUAGCCGACCUGAGAGGGUGAUCGGCCACACUGGAACUGGGACACGGUCCAGACUCCUACGGGAGGCAGCAGUAGGGAAUCUUCCGCAAUGGGCGAAAGCCUGACGGAGCAACGCCGCGUGAGUGAUGAAGGUCUUCGGAUCGUAAAACUCUGUUAUUGGGGAAGAACAUAUGUGUAAGUAACUGUGCACAUCUUGACGGUACCUAAUCAGAAAGCCACGGCUAACUACGUG